AUGGGCGCUUGUGUGAUGCUUGUCAGACUGGAAAGCAUGUCCGCCUCCCUUUUACUUCCUCCACUAGUCGAACUGCUGCACCAUUUGAUCUUAUACAUUGCGAUGUUUGGACUGCUCCUUUGUCUAGCGCCUCUGGCAGCAAGUAUUAUCUCCUACUUAUUGAUGAUUUUUCAUGCUACCACUGGACUUUUCCUCUCAAACUCAAGUCUGAUGUUCCUGCCAUUUUUCGUUUCUUUCAUUCUUAUGUUCGCACCCAUUUUGGGCAGACCAUACGGACUCUCCAAUGCGACAACGGGCGUGAGUUUGAUAGCGCACAAAAUCGCGACUUCUUUCUUCCCUUCGGUACGGUGA
rnacentral:rRNA from 1 species